rnacentral:rRNA from 1 species
GACGAACGCUGGCGGCAUGCCUAAUACAUGCAAGUCGAACGAGCUGCGCCUAAUGAUAGUUGAUGCUUGCAUUAACUUGACUUAAGUUAGCAGCGAGUGGCGAACUGGUGAGUAACACGUGGAUAACCUGCCCAGAAGAAGGGGAUAACACCUGGAAACAGAUGCUAAUACCGUAUAACAACGAAAACCACAUGGUUUUCGUUUGAAAGAUGGCCUUUGUGCUAUCGCUUUUGGAUGGAUCCGCGGCGCAUUAGCUAGUUGGUGAGAUAA